rnacentral:rRNA from 1 species
GACGAACGCUGGCGGCGUGCUUAACACAUGCAAGUCGAACGGAAAGGCCCUGCUUUUGUGGGGUGCUCGAGUGGCGAACGGGUGAGUAACACGUGAGUAACCUGCCCUUGACUUUGGGAUAACUUCAGGAAACUGGGGCUAAUACCGGAUAGGAGCUCCUGCUGCAUGGUGGGGGUUGGAAAGUUUCGGCGGUUGGGGAUGGACUCGCGGCUUAUCAGCUUGUUGGUGGGGUAGUGGCUUACCAAGGCUUUGACGGGUAGCCGGCCUGAGAGGGUGACCGGCCACGUGUGGCGUGAGACGCGGCCCCGUCGGGGACGAGGGGGGGGUGUGGGAAAUGGGGGGAAGGGGGCGGAAGGGUGAUGCAGCGAGGGGGGGGGGGGGAGGGGGGGGUGGGGGUGGUCAAGCUGUGGGGGGGGGGGAGAAGGGGGGGUGAAGGGAAUGGGUAGAGAAGCAGGGGGUAAGGACGUGCCGGGAGGGGCGGUAAAAGACGAGGAGAGCACGUCUGAAC